CUCAUGUCUUUGUACAGAACACUGGUGAGACCUCCCUUAUUAGUAUUGUACACAGUACUGGAGACCAUAUCUCCAGUGGGAUAUUGAUACUUUAGAGAGAGUUCGGAGAAGGGCUACUAAACUGGUUCAUGGAUUGCAUGAUAAAACUUACAAGGAAAGGUUAAAGGAACUUGUAUAGCUUGAAGGAAAGACGAGACAGGGGGAUAUGAUAGAAACAUUGAAAUACAUAAAGGUAAUCAAUACAGUAAAGGAGGAGACUACCACAACAAGAGGACAUAGUCUUAAAUUAAGGUUAAAAAAAAAUAUCAGGAAGUAUUACUUUACUGCAAGGGUAGUUGAUGCAUGGAAUAGCCUUCCAGCUGAAGUGGUAGAGGUUAACACAGUAAAGGAGUUUAAGUAUGCAUGGGAUAGGCAUAAGGCUAUCCUAACUAUAAGAUAAGGCCAGGGACUAAUGAAAGUAUUUAGAAAAUUGGGCAGACUAGAUGGGCCAAAUGGUUCUUAUCUGCCGUUACAUUCUGUUUCCAUUUACACAAUACCACACCACAAUCAGCUCACUCUACACACGCGCAAUCCCACAAGCAGGCUCCAAACACAUGCACCAUACGCUUUCCUGGCCCUUUUGUCCUCUGGUAUCCCACUCAUGGAGACACCAGAGACAAGUUAAAAGCAAACACAGUGCAAGCAUGUUAUUACAUUUGCUUGCGCUGUGCAGAAUAAAUGCAGGGCCUUUUUCUCAUACUAGAGUUUUUCAGCUGGGCUCUGCGCAUUGAACCAACAUGCUCACUUUGAGAGGGGGUGUGCUUGUCAUUAGUGAUGACAAAACACACCCUCUCUGGCCCCGCCCCCUUCUCAGGGGACCACUGUGAUUGAAAAAUGCCAGAGCCAAAAAAUGUUCCUAGUCCAGCCCUGAUGGAAAGUGUAUAAAAAUCCUCUUCAGAUAAACAAUGGACAUUAUGGACAUUGUUAGUAAGGUCUUUGAAGCGUGCCAGAGUAUUACAAAGUCCAAAUGGCAUUAAAGUGGCACUGUCAUGCCGAACUUACCUUUCCUCAAUCUCUUCCUCUCCCCCCCCCCUCUCAGGAUCUGUUCUUCUUUUCUUCCUGUCUUCUUUAGUUUUCUUUAAAAUCAUAAGACAAAGUAGGGACUCUUUGCCUUAUGGAGGAUUCCUCCGCUUGACCAGCUCUAACCAGCGGAGGAGCAAAGUGU